rnacentral:piRNA from 1 species
GGGUUGGGAUUUGUUGCAUUACU